rnacentral:rRNA from 1 species
UACGUACGAGGCGAGCGUUAUCCGGAAUUACUGGGCGUAAAGCGCGCGCAGGCGGUCCUUCAAGUCAGAGGUGAAAGCCCAGAGCUCAACUCUGGGACGGCCUUUGAGACUAGAGGACUUGGGUACGGGAGAGGUGAGUGGAAUUCCGAGUGUAGAGGUGAAAUUCGUAGAUAUUCGGAAGAACACCAGUGGCGAAGGCGGCUCACUGGCCCGUUACCGACGCUCAGGCGCGACAGCGUGGGGAGCAAACAGG